rnacentral:rRNA from 1 species
GGCAAAGUUUGCAUGUGAUAGCUUUUCGGAAAGUCCAAUGAGAGCCCUCCGGCGAAAGAAGCAAGACAAUACCUAUGUUUUUUUUUCGAUUCCAAAUUUUGACUUUUAGGUAUUUUUUCGGGCUUUUUCGUGAUCCGUGCUACAUUACGGGACCAAAAUUAUUUGUUCGGACGUUGUUUUUGCAUUUAUUUCAUGUAUCAAGCCUCCUUAAGACUAGAUGGGGUAUCCCUACGUAGCGGGUGGAACCCAUGCCUAAUGGUUCCUAGAGUCGCCAAAAAAGUAUAAAUACGAUUGCAUUGCAUGUACUAAAAGAUGCGAUCAUAGCAAUACUAAUGCACCGGAUCCCAUCAAAAUUCAGCAGUGAAGCAUGCUUGGGCGAGAGGACUACUAGGAUGGGUGACCUCCCGGGAAGUCUUCGUGUUGCAUUCCUCUUUUGUUUUUGGUUAAAACUUUUUGACUCCAUAACUUAUACACAG